rnacentral:rRNA from 1 species
UCCAGACUCCUACGGGAGGCAGCAGUGGGGAAUAUUGCACAAUGGGCGAAAGCCUGAUGCAGCAACGCCGCGUGAAGGAAGAAGGGUUUCGGCUCGUAAACUUCUAUCAACAGGGACGAAAGAAAUGACGGUACCUGAAUAAGAAGCCCCGGCUAACUACGUGCCAGCAGCCGCGGUAAUACGUAGGGAGCGAGCGUUGUCCGGAUUUACUGGGUGUAAAGGGCGUGUAGGCGGAGCUGCAAGUCAGAAGUGAAAUCUCCGGGCUCAACCCGGAAACUGCUUUUGAAACUGUAGCCCUUGAGUAUCGGAGAGGCAGGCGGAAUUCCUAGUGUAGCGGUGAAAUGCGUAGAUAUUAGGAGGAACACCAGUGGCGAAGGCGGCCUGCUGGACGACAACUGACGCUGAGGCGCGAAAGCGUGGGGAGCAAACAGGAUUAGAUACCCCGGUA